UACGUAGGUGGCAAGCGUUGUCCGGAUUUACUGGGCGUAAAGAGCGCGCAGGCGGCUCGUCAAGUCUGGCGUGAAAGCCCCCGGCUCAACCGGGGAGGGUCGUCGGAGACUGGCGAGCUUGAGGGCGGUAGGGGCUGGUGGAAUUCCCGGUGUAGUGGUGAAAUGCGUAGAGAUCGGGAGGAACACCGGUGGCGAAGGCGGGUCUCUGGGCAGUAACUGACGCUGAGGAGCGAAAGCGUGGGGAGCGAACAGG
rnacentral:rRNA from 1 species